GGUGCUGCAUAUCUAACCUCAAAGUAUCAGGCCCAAAAGAGAACACUAAGGAGAGAGGGUUAGAGAAAUGUAGGGAGAGGAUGGAGAUGAAGGGGGAAGUCAGGGCUCAGGGGUUGGCAGAACUAGUGUUAUGGAGUUGUCUGAAGGAUGGAACCUCACAGUCAAAGCAAAGCUCCCGUCCCACAGCAGUGUGAGCUUCCCUAUUGGUGUCUCUCCUGUCACCUGGAAGAGGGAUGGACCCCUGAACAGGGUCCAAGGCAAUGGAUGACUUUACAGGGCGAGUUCGUUUUAGAUUCCCGGAGCCCACAAAAAUCAAUAGCUUUCCAUUAUCGGGUGCGGCUGGGUCACUGGUCUGUCAAUGAGCUGUGACAAUUGCUGUGCCAGGGUGAACCUGACCAGUCAGUUGCUGCUGACAAGAGGCAAACAUGCUGACAGCUUUGCACUUCGGCUUGCCGUCCAGAGAGGCUCAGAGGAAGGCCUGUUCCCAGAUGUAGGGCACGCGCCGUGGCAGGGCAGGGCUGGGCCCUGCCCCCGCUCUCUCAGCAGGGCGUUGGGGGCCCUGUGCGCACAGACACAGCCUGGAGACGACGGCCACCUUCCAGGAGCAGAGCGUGCCUCGCUGGGGCAGGGCCUUCCGCCGCCCCUGGCUCCUUGGGGCGCAGCCGCGCUCCCCACCUGGCCACGCGGAUUCCCUGCCAGAGCGCGGCCGCGGUGUCGCGCCAGCGGAGCGAGGCCCUGGCCUGCCGCUGGGCUGAGCCCCGCUCUUGCGGGUCUCGGGCUUCCGGCGGAACUCCGGUCAGACACCGACCUGGGAAGCGGAACGAAAAGCAACAGUUAGCAAUUAACCCCCUAUUAGGGGUUUUAAUUUGCACUGACUACUUUCAAGUCUUAAACGCUGGCCUCUUCCUUUGUGCCUCCAGCCCUCCGUUUGAUUCGCGCAGAAGGCCGGAGUCACUUGCGUCCCCCCUCAUGAAACAGAAAAACUGGCGAUCAACUUUAUCACUGGGAGCCAACUCGCUGGGUUUUAAAAAAUACACUGUGCCCCAGACCGAUCACUUUCUUUAAACGAGAGCAGAAGGGAGGGGUUUGGAAGGGAGAAGAAUAAACCCUCCUUGGCUGGUAAUUAGAAGCACCGGGCUUAUGACUUGCAGCACUUGGUAGCUGGAAACGCGUCCGUUCUCUUGUAGCAUUAAUUAAAAAGAAUGGGUGUGUUUUUAAUAAAAUGCUUCAUGUUUCAGCCUCCUUUCUUCCUCUUACCAACUGUGAUGGGGGGGCUGAAGGGAAUUCAGGUUAAUAGGUUGACACACUUAACAAUGCGGGGUCAUGUUGCACAAUACGCUUGACUGGUUUGGUUCAGUACAGCCUCUGACAGGUCCUAAUCAGCCACUGCCCUAAAGGCAGAGGCAAAGAGCGGCUUUUAAUUACUGCUCCUUACCCGAGUUUGCCAGCAUUAAAUUGAGACAUAAUGAGGCCUCCGAAUUUUGAUAAUUGUCCUAGCUAAUUGGGCAGACAAGUGCGUUCUGCCGCGUGACGUGAUCAGAUAAUUAGUAUUUCCGAACGACACAAUUGGGCUCUUGAUUACGAAUUCCGGAUGCAAGGGGAAAGGUAGCGCGCGGAUCUUUACGAGUCUAUUAGGGAGAGUUUAGCGCUGCUGGUAAUUUGAAGUCCAUUAAGAAGCUAAAUUCCACCUCCGGUGAGCCACUCCGGCCUGAGACGGCCUCUGCCUCCGUGUCUGCGCCGCCGCCUGGUUUGGACAUGGCAGCCCCCUGCCCCAAGCAGCGCGGCUGGGGUCCCACUGAGCACGGGAAGCUGCUUUCCCGGUGCCUGCCGUUGCUGAGGGCGGCCGCCUCCCGUGUACGCUGCGUCUGCCCUCCAGGGGUCCCGGCGGCCGGCGCUGCUGUGGCUGCAGCCCAGGCCCCUGGCUGAAGUGCUACUUGGAAGUAUACGUAUGCUAAUGAGGUGCAGCUCCCCAGUCGGAGAGCCCUGGCUGAGGCUGCUCGCGGCUCCUCGGCCUAGGCCGUUAUUCCCCACUGAUUACUCGCUUAAGAACGUCUUCAGAAAAAAAGCUCUAGGUGUGACAGAGAGCUGGUCACCCAGCAGCUGCCCCUCAGCCCUCCAGGCGCAACCUGACCUCCUUUCUCAGGCCCCCCCUGCACCGCGGGGCUGCCAGCAGCACCACGAAAGGUGCAUUAUGGGGAAUGGGGGGGGGGGGGACCCGGCCUGCAGCUCUCAGGCGCGAAGGAGACGCUGGCGCCAGGCUCUAGCCCAGAUUCGAACGACUGACUCCUGCUGCGCUGAACCCGUCACGCCGGCGUAUGGACUUCGCAACGCGACGCCCAGCCCAGAGAGCCCCCUGCGCGGAGGCCUGCGUCCAUCUCCUGGGAGGGUCGCUCCAAAGGACACCCCGCGCCUGGUUCAGAGCGCUCCCUUGGGUUUCUAUGGGGCUUAUUUCAGAUUUAAAAA